GAUGAACGCUGGCGGCGUGCCUAAUACAUGCAAGUCGAGCGAACAGAUGAGUAGCUUGCUCCUCUGACGUUAGCCGCGGACGUGUGUGUAACACGUGGAUAACUUACCUAUAAGACUGGGAUCACUUCGAAACACCGUUGCUAAUACCGGAUAAUAUCUUGAACCGCAUGGUUCAAUAGUGACAGACGGUUUUGCUGUCACUUAUAGAUGGAUCCGCGCCGGAUUAGCUAGUUGGUAAGGUAACGGCUUACCAAGGCGACGAUGAGUAGCCGAACUGAGAGGGUGAUCGGCCACACUGGAACUGAGACACGGUCCAGACUCCUACGGGAGGCAGCAGUAGGGAAUCUUCCGCAAUGGGCGAAAGCCUGACGGAGCAACGCCGCGUGAGUGAUGAAGGUCUUCGGAUCGUAAAACUCUGUUAUUAGGGAAGAACAAAUGUGUAAGUAAAUAUGCACGGCUUGACGGUACCGAAUCAGAAAGCAACGGCUAACUACGUG
rnacentral:rRNA from 1 species